rfam:Equus caballus chromosome 1, whole genome shotgun sequence.
GUGGCUGGCGGCUGGGUGCCUUCUACUGGUGCUGUACAGAGGCUUUCCCUAAGGCUGCUGUGAGCCUGUAGGGUUUCCCCCUAGGCUACUAAGCUGG